rnacentral:rRNA from 1 species
AUUGAACGCUGGCAGCAGGCCUAACACAUGCAAGUCGAGCGGCAGCGGGAAAGUAGCUUGCUACUUUUGCCGGCGAGCGGCGGACGGGUGAGUAAUGCCUGGGGAUCUGCCCAGUCGAGGGGGAUAACUACUGGAAACGGUAGCUAAUACCGCAUACGCCCUACGGGGGAAAGCAGGGGACCUUCGGGCCUUGCGCGAUUGGAUGAACCCAGGUGGGAUUAGCUAGUCGGUGAGGUAAUGGCUCACCAAGGCGACGAUCCCUAGCUGGUCUGAGAGGAUGAUCAGCCACACUGGAACUGAGACACGGUCCAGACUCCUACGGGAGGCAGCAGUGGGGAAUAUUGCACAAUGGGGGAAACCCUGAUGCAGCCAUGCCGCGUGUGUGAAGAAGGCCUUCGGGUUGUAAAGCACUUUCAGCGAGGAGGAAAGGUUGGUAGCUAAUAACUGCCAGCUGUGACGUUACUCGCAGAAGAAGCACCGGCUAACUCCGUGCCAGCCGCCGCAGUAAUAC